UCCCUUGACUCGGGGUGCCCGCUGCAAAGCAGGGCUGAGAUUUUACCCGUAUUACCUGAUCUGGAUUAUGCCAGCGUAGGGAAGUCAGGUAUCUCUCUC
rfam:Rahnella aquatilis CIP 78.65 = ATCC 33071, complete genome.